rnacentral:rRNA from 1 species
CUGGAACGCGCCCCAGGCGCACCCAGAAACCCUUUGUGAACUUAUACCUUACUGUUGCCUCGGCGCUAGCUGGUCCUUCGGGGCCCCUCACCCCCGGGUGUUGAGACGGCCCGCCGGCGGCCAACCUAACUCUUGUUUUUACACUGAAACUCUGAGAAUAAAACAUAAAUGAAUCAAAACUUUCAACAACGGAUCUCUUGGUUCUGGCAUCGAUGAAGAACGCAGCGAAAUGCGAUAAGUAAUGUGAAUUGCAGAAUUCAGUGAAUCAUCGAAUCUUUGAACGCACAUUGCGCCCUCUGGUAUUCCGGAGGGCAUGCCUGUUCGAGCGUCAUUUCAACCCUCAAGCCUGGCUUGGUGAUGGGGCACUGCCUGUAAAAGGGCAGGCCCUGAAAUUCAGUGGCGAGCUCGCCAGGACCCCGAGCGCAGUAGUUAAACCCUCGCUCUGGAAGGCCCUGGCGGUGCCCUGCCGUUAAACCCCCAACUUCUGAAAAU